rnacentral:rRNA from 1 species
UACGUAGGGGGCAAGCGUUGUCCGGAAUCAUUGGGCGUAAAGAGCGUGUAGGCGGCCCGGUAAGUCUGUUGUGAAAGUCCAGGGCUCAACCCUGGAAUGCCGAUGGAUACUGCCGGGCUAGAGUUCGGAAGAGGCGAGUGGAAUUCCUGGUGUAGCGGUGGAAUGCGCAGAUAUCAGGAGGAACACCUAUAGCGAAGGCAGCUCGCUGGGACGACACUGACGCUGAGACGCGAAAGCGUGGGAGCGAACAGG